GACGAACGCUGGCGGCGUGCUUAACACAUGCCAGUCGAACGGAAAGGCCUGCUUUCCCUUGUGGAUUGCGGGUACUCGAGUGGCGAACGGGUGAGUAACACGUGAGUGAUCUGCCCCCAACUUGGGUAUAAGCCUGGGAAACUGGGUCUAAUUCCCGAUAGGACUGCAGGGUGGUGCCUGUGGUGGAAAACGAUUUUCUAGUGGUUGGGGAUGAGCUCGCGGCCUAUCAGCUUGUUGGUGGGGUAAUGGCCUACCAAGGCGGCGACGGGUAGCCGGCCUGGGAGGGUGGACGGCCACAUUGGGACUGAGAUACGGCCCAGACUCCGACGGGAGGCAGCAGUGGGGAAUAUUGCACAAUGGGCGGAAGCCUGAUGCAGCGACGCCGCGUGGGGGAUGACGGCCUUCGGGUUGUAAACUCCUUUCGACCGCGAGGAAGCCACCUGGUUGGAAGGGUGGUGACGGUAGUGGUAGAAGAAGCACCGGCUAACUACGUG
rnacentral:rRNA from 1 species